rnacentral:misc_RNA from 1 species
CCUAAAUUCUAUCUUUCCAUACUGUAUUAUUCUCCCGUGGUUAAAAAAAACUCGUCAUCGAGUUUUGAAAUGUUAAAGGAUCAAGAACCAAGCAAAGAGAACGCACAGUACAAUCUUCGUGGAUGAUAGCAAUAAGAAUAACUUGAAUAAGUUUGCUCUCUCUUUUGUAUUCUUACAAAUAUCUGGGCAAAUAAAAUCAAUUAAAACAA